rnacentral:lncRNA from 1 species
AUGCUAGGAUUAAAGUCACACGUCCCUAUACCCAGCUAAACUUAGGAUUUCUUUCUUUCUUUUUUUUUUUUUUUUUCUCGAGACAGGGUUUCUCUGUGUAACCUUGGCUGUCCAGGCUGGCCUGAAACUCUGAUGUUUGCCACCUGAUGUGUGCCACUGCUCCAGCCUUAAGGAAAUUUGGGUUUGUCAUGUAUGAAGACGACACUGUCAUUUUCAAGAACAAAACAAAACAAAACAAAAAGUUGUUUCCAUUUUUCCUAGCCUUAGACAUGGACACCAGCUGUAUAGAUUUUAUUUGUGUGUGACAACUUUUUUGUUUGUUUGUUUUUUGUUUUCGAGCCAGGGUUUCUCUGUAUAGCCCAGGCUGUCCUAGAACUCACUUUGUAGACCAGGCUGGCCUUGAACUCAGAAAUCUUCCUGCCUCUGCCUCCCGAGUGCUGGGAUUAAAGGCAUGUGCCACCAAGCCCGGCUUUUUUUUGGGGGGGGUUUAUUUAUUUAUUUAUUUAUUUAUCUUUGUGUGUGUGUGUGUGUGACAGCUUUUAAGUGAGUGAAAGGAGAGCACACAGAGCUCUGUGUGAGGUGCAUAUGAGGUACAUGUGAGGUGCGUGUGUAAGGUGUAUGUGAGGUGUGUGUGAGAAGUAUGUAGGCGUGUGAGAAUAUGCAGAGGGCACAACCCCCAGCCCAAGGAGGGAGCA